CAACUUCUCGCAUGGGAUGGUUGUGGAAAGUUUUUCGGCCAGGGAUGUGCUCGCGGCCUAUCAGCUUGAUGGUGAGGUAAUGGCUCACCAUGGCUUCGACGGGUAGCCGGCCUGAGAGGGUGACCGGCCACACUGGGACUGAGACACGGCCCAGACUCCUACGGGAGGCAGCAGUGGGGAAUAUUGGACAAUGGGCGGAAGCCUGAUCCAGCAACGCCGCGUGAGGGAUGACGGCCUUCGGGUUGUAAACCUCUUUCGGUGGGGACGAAGCGCAAGUGA
rnacentral:rRNA from 1 species